rnacentral:tRNA from 1 species
GCAGGGAUACCCAAGCGGUCAAACGAUGGCUGGCGCGAAUAAGAAAAGUUACUCUGCGCGCCGGACAUUGGUUCAAAGGGGGUAGCCUCAAGAGCUACUGGCUUAGUGCCUUCGAAGGUUCGAAUCCUUCUCCCUGCA